AAAGAAUUAGUUAAAUUAACAUUAGUAUGUCAAACUAAAAUUAUUAGUAAAAUCUAAUAUUCUUUU
rnacentral:tRNA from 1 species